UACGUAGGGGGCAAGCGUUGUCCGGAAUUAUUGGGCGUAAAGAGCGUGUAGGCGGUCCGGUAAGUCAGCUGUGAAAGUCAAGGGCUCAACCCUUGAAUGCCGGUUGAUACUGUCGGGCUAGAGUCCGGAAGAGGCGAGUGGAAUUCCUGGUGUAGCGGUGGAAUGCGCAGAUAUCAGGAGGAACACCAACGGCGAAGGCAGCCCGCUGGGACGGUACUGACGCUAAGGCGCGAAAGCGUGGGGAGCGAACAGG
rnacentral:rRNA from 1 species